UACGGAGGGUGCAAGCGUUAUCCGGAUUCACUGGGUUUAAAGGGAGCGUAGGUGGGUAGGUAAGUCAGUGGUGAAAUACCCAAGCUUAACUUGGGAACUGCCAUUGAUACUAUCUAUCUUGAAUAUCGUAGAGGUAAGCGGAAUAUGUCAUGUAGCGGUGAAAUGCUUAGAUAUGACAUAGAACACCAAUUGCGAAGGCAGCUUGCUAUGCGAAUAUUGACACUGAGGCUCGAAGGCGUGGGGAUCAAACAGG
rnacentral:rRNA from 1 species